CUCAGGUCACUAAAGUUGUAUACCUACUGAUUAUGGGUGCCUCUGCUGACUCAUGCUGGUUGUCAGGGAAGUGGAAGAAAGCCAGCAGUUACAGGACUCACUCAGCACUCACACAAACUGAAGGGCCCGGUCUCACUCCUACCGUGCCCCCCACAACAGCCCUGAGUCUGUUUCCAGGUGGUGGGCGAGAGGGGUUUGAAAAUUUGCCCCAGGCUAUCCGCCUCCCAGCUGGGCAAGAAAAGGGCGUGGUUGUUCCCCCACUGAGGAGUCUGCACACCGGAUUUGCAUCUUCCCCUGAGUUCUGGCCUGGAGGCUUCUCGCCCCUGCAAAUUGUUACAAAGUUCAGCUAGAGGGUUCCUUCUUCCUGUGGAGUUUUACCUUCUGCUCCUCUGGCCACCCUCCUGAUGGAUCCCUGUGGUGCCAGGCAGGAAUGACCUGCUUAAGGACCCAGCGAGCUCCCAGGACCUUUCUGCUGCUUCCUCUACCCGUAUAUUUUGCUUGCUUCUCUACAUUGACUCAGCUCCAGCGAUUCCUGAGGAAUCUCAUCCACACUACCCUAUGGACUAAAAGGAAAAGCUCUUCAUGUGGUGUUAGCACGGAGAUGAGAAAGAGAGAAAGACAACAUCAUGCUUUGCUGUCUGUGUGUGAACUGAGUAACAGCUGUGAAGGAUCAGUCACCAAAAGACUUUGAAAGAAGAGGCUUGAUUGGUCACGGCCAUGGAAGUUUAAUUGGGAGAAAAGAACAUCUGCUUAUACGAAAACAUAUUAUAUUCAGCCAUCCCUGCCCUGACUUUGGCCUUUAAAAACAGUGGCAUUAAUUAUCUCAACAAAUGAAUCUUCGGGAUAAAAAUAAUCUAAAUAUUAUUUUACGCUUACUACAUAUUUGCAACGUGCUAAGCUCUUUAUGGUUGCUACCACAAAAAACAUUUAUAAUAUGAGACUUCACAAGGUUAGGAACAGGCUUCACUUCAUUGUGAUGUGUGUAAGGUGACAGAGGACAUAUAACGAAUACGUGGAAGAACUAGGAAUUUGACCUUAGCUUCCAGACAUUUUGAGGAGGAUACACUAUGUCCAUCUUGCUUUCCUAUCAAGAAAAGUAUACCCAGUUUGUGCAGUAGCCCUGUACCAACAGAUACAUUACAGCAG
rnacentral:lncRNA from 1 species